GAACAUGAUUUCCAAGGUAAGUGUAG
rnacentral:piRNA from 1 species